rnacentral:rRNA from 1 species
AAUAGAAAGUAGAAAAGGGCGCAUGGCGGAUGCCUUGGCUCACGGAGGCGAUGAAGGACGUGAUAAGCUGCGAUAAGCAUUGGGUAGGUGCAAAUAACCUUUGAUCCAGUGAUUUCCGAAUGGGACAACCCGGCUGUCUGAAGGACAGUCAUUACCAUCUUUUUGGUAAGGCAAACGCAGGGAACUGAAACAUCUUAGUACCUGCAGGAAGAGAAAAUAAUUCAAUGAUUCCCCCAGUAGUGGCGAGCGACCGGGGAACAGCCCAAACCCAUCCCGUAGCAAUGCGGGUUGGGGGUAGUAGGACCGCGCUGUCGUACUUUGAUUGUGAGGAGAAGCUUCUGGAAAGAAGCAUCGUAGAGGGUGAUAAUCCCGUAUCCGUAGCAUGACGAGGCGUAGCGGUAUCCUGAGUAACGCGGAACACGUGAAAUUCUGCGCGAAUCUGCCGGGACCAUCCGGCAAGGCUAAAUACUCCCGUGAGACCGAUAGUGGACGAGUACCGUGAGGGAAAGGUGAAAAGCACCCCGCGAGGGGAGUGAAACAGUUCCUGAAACCAUGCGCCUACAAGCGGUCGGAGUCGCGCAAGCGGUGACGGCGUGCCUUUUGCAUAAUGAACCUACGAGUUACCAUGUCCGGCAAGGUUUAGCGGUUUAGCCGCGCAGCCUCAGUGAAAGCGAGCCUGAAUAGGGCGUUUGAGUCGGAUGGGGUAGACGCGAAACCAAGUGAUCUACACUUGCCCAGGUUGAAGUUCCGGUAACACGGAAUGGAGGACCGAACCAAUAAGCGUUGAAAAGCUUCUGGAUGAGGUGAGUGUAG